rnacentral:tRNA from 10 species
GUCGGUGUACUCUUAACCGGUAAAGCGGCACUCGUCAGAUGUAUAUGUGGGUUCGACCCCCACCACCGACC